UACGAAGGGGGCUAGCGUUGCUCGGAAUCACUGGGCGUAAAGCGCACGUAGGCGGAUUGUUAAGUCAGGGGUGAAAUCCUGGAGCUCAACUCCAGAACUGCCUUUGAUACUGGCGAUCUCGAGUCCGGGAGAGGUGAGUGGAACUGCGAGUGUAGAGGUGAAAUUCGUAGAUAUUCGCAAGAACACCAGUGGCGAAGGCGGCUCACUGGCCCGGUACUGACGCUGAGGUGCGGAAAGCG
rnacentral:rRNA from 1 species